rnacentral:rRNA from 1 species
UACGUAGGAUGCAAGCGUUGUCCGGAUUUAUUGGGUUUAAAGGGUGCGUAGGCGGCCUAUGAAGUUAGUGGUGAAAACGUUCGGCUUAACUGGAUACCCGCCAUUGAUACUGAUAGACGUGAGUGCGACAGAGGGUGUUGGAAUGUGUGGUGUAGCGGUGAAAUGCUUAGAUAUCACGCAGAACACCAAUUGCGAAGGCAGAGGCCUAUGUCGGAACUGACGCUGAGGCACGAAAGCGUGGGGAGCAAACAUG